GGGUAGUUUGACUGGGGCGGUCUCCUCCCAAAGAGUAACGGAGGAGCACGAAGGUUAGCUAAUCACGGUCGGACAUCGUGAGGUUAGUGCAAAGGCAUAAGCUAGCUUGACUGCGAGAGUGACGGCUCGAGCAGGUACGAAAGUAGGUCUUAGUGAUCCGGUGGUUCUGAAUGGAAGGGCCAUCGCUCAACGGAUAAAAGGUACUCCGGGGAUAACAGGCUGAUACCGCCCAAGAGUUCAUAUCGACGGCGGUGUUUGGCACCUCGAUGUCGGCUCAUCACAUCCUGGGGCUGAAGUAGGUCCCAAGGGUAUGGCUGUUCGCCAUUUAAAGUGGUACGCGAGCUGGGUUUAGAACGUCGUGAGACAGUUCGGUCCCUAUCUGCCGUGGGCGUUGGAAGAUUGAGAGGGGUUGCUCCUAGUACGAGAGGACCGGAGUGAACGCACCACUGGUGUUCGGGUUGUCAUGCCAAUGGCAUUGCCCGGUAGCUAAGUGCGGAAAAGAUAAGCGCUGAAAGCAUCUAAGCGCGAAACUU
rnacentral:rRNA from 1 species